AUUUCCCUCUUUAAUGGAAAAAAACAUGGACGGAAGGCGGAGGAGCAUAAAUCUUGCAAGUUGCUUUUCCGAGACCAGCCAGAACUAGCCCUAAAGGCAGACGCUGUGCGCUCCUCGCUGGGCUGCUGGCGGCUGUAUUCUUCUCAUUUCGAUUUCAACAAGUAGUCCCAGCCAGAGAAGCAUUAGAAGAUCAAGCCUCACAUCUUCUGGUCACAGAAUUCCUUUCUGCAGGCUCCACUGCAGGCUCAGGCCGCCGCGUAACCUGAGACGCCUCAAUUUCCCAGCAGACAGCACAUUAAAGGGAGGUCUCCCGGCCAGCUGCAGAGACAGAAAGCAGAGGUCACAGAGAUAAACGUCAGCUGUCAGAAGAGCCGCAGAUGAAGGUGAUAUUCAUUUCUAAUGGUUUCUGAGAAGAGAGACCAUCAGAGUGAAAUCCAGUAAUCCCGCAUUUCUGAUCCCAUGCCUACCGAGACGCUCAAACUUGAGUGCAGACCUUGUGGCAAUGAAGAACAGCUGGACACCAUCCUCUGUGAUAAUAACCUUCAUAUAGUGGAAACCCGAAUGGUUUUGGACAUGGUACUCACAAAAACAUCCCCUUGCAUGAUGUCGCUUAUUUGGUAUUUCCCCCUGUAAAUAGCUAGAUUCCUUAUAGCCAGCCCUUCCAGCCACGAUCACAUUUUGGCUCUGUUCAGUAUAAUGCAAGCAUUUUCUGCCCCGUCUAUUCAGGAAUGUCUUCCGAGGAGGUUUCACAAUAAAAUUUAUUGUGUUUAAUUUAUGACAUACAAUGUAAGAAGAAUGGAAUGCCUUUCUGUUAGGAUUUGCAUUGAUAAUGAAAGGUUACCAUAGUGCCGGUCCGCUUUUACCAAAUUUGCCAAAUUCUGAAGGGAAUGCCAAUUAGAAGGCGGUAAUGUUUCUCACUGCAGCAGAUUGAGACCAAUACCUGGUGGCGAGGACCCGUCGCUGUUGGCUGGACCUUACUUCUAAUUGGGAAAGAAGGCAAAUGCUGCAUCAAAUAGUGUUUAUGAAGUGAUAUCAAUCAUUCCAAGUAAGAGCCACACCCCAAGGAAGCUGAGGAAGUGAUUCAAUCUUUCUGAGGUCAUCUUUUCUAUUAACAUCGGGGUAGCCAAAAAUCUGAAAACGCUCACAUUUUGCUCUCUUUAGGAAAAAACAACAUUGAUUUUAGAGGCUUUUGUUAUGGAGGCCAGGGGGAUUUUCCCACUGCAGCUAAGAGGAAGCUGGGUUUGGAUUGGGAAGCCAGACAUUUCUUGGCCUGAGUUUCUCACUUGAAUGGGAUUCUAGUUUGCCCCCUCCUCACCUCGCCAAUCCCCAAGCAGCUAGAAGCCCCACCUCCUCCCUUGGACCAUAUGGGGAAGCUGGCUCAGUGGCUGUUAUUCUACUGACUCCAAGUUCACGCAGCUGUUCAUUCCCUGCUUAAUGUACCGGUAAUUACAGCAAUGUGCUCUUCUCUUUUUCCAAUCAUGUAACUUUUUUCUAAUGGAAAAUGAUUUGUUUUUAACAACUUCCAUGCAUUUUGUUCUUUAAUAAGAAAGGGUGUCUCAUGGUACUGAGAGAUUGAAUUCUCUAUAAAAAGCAAAAGUCUCUAUAUCAGUUUCCAGCUCCAUAGGAGGGCUCCGUGGGACUAGCCAAAAUUGGGGGGGGGGGGACUUAAAUGGGUGUAACUAACUUGAUAUGAAUAGGUCAGUUGGGAAACAAAGCAAGCUCAUUGCCUUCUUUCUGCACAUGGAGGUGGUGAAAGAACAUUUUUAAAAAAUGUGAAACUGGGAAAAAUCAAAAGUACAAAUUGAGCUCUUCUUUCAUGAUCCAAAUCCAGUAUGCUCUCAAAGGAUUUUUAAAACAAAUAUCUGAAGAGCUUUUCACUUAUCUGAGUUCUAUCUUUUGGAGCAUGUAAAUUUUCUGCUUUGAUGGUUGGGUUUGGGUGGAGGACUCAGAUGAUAGCAAGGGAUGCAUCUUUCCCUUCAGCCAUGCCCAGCUCUGGGGCACAGAUAAAACAUGUGUUUGUUCAUGUUAUCAUUUCAUUUGUGGAUAAAACAUAUCACCCUUGGAAUCUCUGCCUUUGUAGCUCCCUAAGUGGCACUGGGAGUCAUUGCAAGAGGAUCAUUUCUAAAGCAAAACUUUUCCAACUCAUUAGAAUACUUCGUUUUGGAGGUUUUAUGUAAAAAAAAAUAUAUAUAUAUAUAUAUAUUAAUUAAGCAACAGUUGUAGUAAAGAAAACCAAAUCAAAUCCCUGUGUGUGGAUGGAAUUGCUAGUUCUAUACAAGACGUAAAGCUGAUUUGAUCAGGAGGAUGAUAGCAAAAUGAAUGUUUCCUUUAUAUGAAAAUUCAAAAUUCAAGGAAGUUGAGAGCAUGAUAGAUUUCACGUGCAAAUCGAAUAUGCCUCAUUUGACAUUUUAGGGAUUCAUAGAAUUUAAGAUCUAGCUGAAGUUAUAAGAUAGAUGUUCGGAGCCCUAAAUCCUUUAGUGCUAAAAUGUAUCCAUAUCUUCGAGGGGCAUUAAUUUUAUUACUUGCGUAUUCCCUUUACACUAAUAAUGGUGGGUAACAACAUGAUUUGCCAGGAACUACCUAUCUCUUAUCUAGCUCCCCCUCCAGAAAUCUGUAGGUUUUUCUUAGAAGUUCCGUCAGAAGUUUUAUGACACCAAAGUGAGGAAAUUUAAAAUACUCAUUUUGGAACUUGGAAGUAAAUGACUUCUAAAUUUGCAAUAACGUUGGUAAAACAGUUGCUUGCCUUAAGAACCAUCAGAGGUACAACAGCAAGGAGGAUUGGCUUUGGUUCCUCUGAAGUCUUUAGUUAGAAGCUGCACACAUGGCCGCCUGCAGUGAGGGGGUCGGUGCUACCUCAUGAAUCCAGUGCAUGAGUCUACAUUUGAUUUCACCCUCUAGGAAAUCAUUGUUUCAGCUUUGUGAAAAGUAGAAAUUCUACUUAACAUAUUUCAGCAAGCUUUGAGAAUUAGGAUCUUCAGAAUUAGUAGCAAGACUCUAAUCCAGGUGUCUAUCUUACCUCAAAUUCUAUUUCUUCAGAUGAUUGCAUCAGUUGCUUUGAGAAGAUUUUAUUUAUAAAGCUUUAAGUUACUUUGAUAUCCAUUAGACUUUCAAAAUUUAUCAUCUGAUGAAUGUCCAAAUAAGUAGUUGUAUGAUAAAUCAUUGUCCUCAUUCCUACUUAUUCAGUCAGCAAUUUUUUUUUUAUUUUUUCCAUUUUUAUUGAGGAAUAACUGACAAAUUUGUAUAUAUUUAAAAUGUACAAUGUGAUGAUUUGGUAUAUAUUCUGAAGGGUUAUCACAAUCAAGUUCACUAACACAUCCAUCACCUCACACAGUUACCUUUUAUUAUGUGUGUAGUGAGAAUGCUUAAUUAAGAUCUACUCUUAUAGCAAUUUUUAAGUGUGCAAUACAGUAUUAUUAACUAUAGUCACCCUGCUGUACAUUGGAUUGCCAGGACUUAUUGGUUUUAUAACUAAAACUUUGUAUCCUUUGACCAACAUCUCCCCAUUUCCUCCACCCCUAGUCCCUGGCAAGCACCGUUUUACUCUCUACUUCUAUGAGUUCAAACUUUUUUUUUUUUUAGAUUCCACAUAUAAAUGAUGUCAUGCAGUGUUUGUUUUUCUCUGUUCUCUGUCUGGCUUAUUUCACUUAACAUAAUGCCCUCCUGUUUCACUCAUGAUGUUGCAAAUAAUAGGAUUUCCUUGUUUGUUUGUUUGUUUGUUUUAAGCUGAAUAAUAUUCCAUCAUAUAUGUACCACAUCUUCUUUAUUUAUCUGUUGACAAACACUUGGGUUAUUUUCCUACACUGGCUAUUGUGAAUAAUGCUGCAAUAAACAUGGAGGUACAGAUA